AGCCAAAAACAUGGAGAAGAGCCUGUGGGCCCCACAGAGCAGGGCUUUCCAGAAUGAGAGGACCAGGAAUGUGACUGCUGCCUCACCUGUGAAUUUAAACAGCAACAACUUCCAAGCUCCUCUCUGGGUUCUGAUUUUGAGCUAAGCCUCACCUUUUGGAAACAUCUUCUUCCAGCUGAAAUCUGCCUUUGGGCUCCCGUCUGAGACGCCAAGCCCAGAAUGCUGUCCUGGGCACCCCUGCGUCACCAAGGCCACCUGCACAGACACGGAAGUCACCCUGUGGGUCUCAGUUUCUGAAUUUGGGGGCCUUGAAUGUGCUGUCCUGGUUCGAAUUUUUACUUUCUCAAGGGAAAAUAGAGGAUAGAUUUUGGACAGAGGAGUGUAAGAAGGUUCAAGAGAUUUCAGGGUUGAGCAAGUAAAUAGACAUGACCACCAGGUGGCAGCAGCCCACACAGACUCUGCUUGGACAGGUCUGCACCGGGGAGUCCCUGGGGUUGGGACCACCCUGAGGCUCCUGUGCAGGAGACCACAACUCGGAAGACGAGGAGGGCAAGGAAACUCCACCAGGGAGACAGGGUUUACAUGGUAGGUGACAUUUCCAGGCAGAGAACUCCAAAGGGUACAGCAGCCUGCGGUCUUUAUAUAGUUGCUGGAAGCUUUAUCUUACCUCUAGUGAGAAGAUGUUAAGCACAGUUUCUCAGGGUAUGCAAAGCAAGUAUGUUCUAAAUGGCUAAAAAUCUGCUUACUGGGGCUAUGUUUAAAACAACUGGAUGUAUAAACAUUUGAGUUUGGUUCCAGCAGGUUUCUGAGCUAACACGUCUCAGCUGCUGUGAAGAAAUGAACAAGCUAGGGCCAACAUACCAAGGCCUCCUGUGGCUCAGUCCUGUAACAAGGAGGCAGGGCAUUCUGCAAAGAAGAAAGAAGGUUGAAUUCCCAAAUAUGAAACAGAUUCUUUUUAGUGUAUACAUAUUUUAUACAUUCGUAUUUAAAUUAUUGAGUCAUCGUAAUUGAGUAAAGAAGAGGAAAAGCUUACUUCGAGGUUGGUUAUAAAAUUGUGGGCUUCCCUGGUGUCUCAGACAGUAAAGAAUCUGCCUGCCAAUGCAGAAGUUGCAGGAGCUGUGGGUUUGAUCUCUGGCUCAGGAAGAUCCCCUGAAGGAGGAAAUGGCAACCCACUCCAGUAUUCUUGCCUGGAGAAUCCCAUGGAUAGAGGAUCUUGGCAGGUUACAGUCCAUGGGGUUGCAAAGAGUCAGACAUGACUGAGCAAGUAACACUAUAAAUUAUAAAAUUGCAGCUCUGGUAUUUCUGCAGCUACAGACUUAUUGUAAGUCAUGAAGCUUAAGCCUCAAGGCCCUU
rnacentral:lncRNA from 1 species